UGAUCAGUUGCCAGGAUGUGACAGUCUAGGGCCGUCAGCCCGUUCUGGCCCUGAGUCCCUGCCUCGUUCCCACCUUGGUAGGCUGGGUGAGGUGUGGCGCUGGGUGUGAGGUAUGACGCUGAGGGUGAGGUGUGGCUGGGUGAGGUAUGACGGAGGCAUUGUCAACCGGAAGUCAGUAAAAGCCGAGUCUGGUCUUAUUUUUAUCUGGCUACCAUGUUAAUUAGCUGAUGUCCCCAGAAGCAAUGCAUGGCGGGUAGCUCUUCACGGGUAACUCUGAGAGAGUUCAGGAAUCAAGUGGCUUCAGAAAUCGACUGAGGGCAAAAGGGAGGAGACAGAUGUAGGUGUGUGGCCAGGUGGCGUACAGUACUGGAGAAAGAACAUUUGAGGUGUGGCGGAAAGGAAAUUUGAGGCAGGGCUUUGAAUGGGAAUGUGUGGAUUUUAGAUCUUGAUUGAUGGCCACUCCCGCACACGUUCUCACUUAGAAUAACUACACCACCCCUGAUAAAGAACAGCUCAUUCCUUUGUGUUUCUAACUUCUGUUUUCUUUUUCACGGUACAGCUUGGCACUGAGCUUCUUCCCAGGAGAUUGCAGGAAGUAAUGUGUAUUAAUUUAUUUUAUAUAAUUCAUAUCUCUUUCUAGCUAAUAUUGAAAAGCAUAUUGUGAAACGUCAGUGGGAUAAGCCACUUCAUUGCCUUAAGUCCCUUACUUCAUUCUAUUUUGCACAGGUUUAUGCAAUAUGGAUUAUCAUUUAGCAACAGUUUUGUGACCCACCUGCCAAUGGAGUACAUUAUUUUGCAUUCUUCCACACAUUUUAUUAAAACUAAAAUUAUAGAAUUUUGUUAAUUAGAAAAACAAUACAGACUCAAUAGGACCAGUAAAAUCAUCCAAAGAUAUGUUUAGAAGUAACCUUCACUUCAGUCCUGACUCCCAGAUGAGGUAACCUCUAUUUCAGGACCAGUGGGAUGGUUAGCAAAUUAAGGCACUUGCCACUAAGGCUGACGACCCAAGUUCAAACCCUGGUACCCACAAGGUGGAAGGAGAGACCUGACUCCCACAAGUUGUCCUUUGACCCCUACACACUGGCUGGGGCAUGCAUGCCCCUCCCCAUAUGCCCAAAAUAACUUUAAAAAAAAAUCUAGAUUCUGUCUUUUGAUACUUUGUAUGUCAAUACAAACCUCUCAGCUAGAUAAAUACAAAGUUGGUUGGUCAGAAAUAUAAAAUGGCACUUCACUUUCAUCACUAAACAAUAAUGAACAACCUUCCAGGCCAGCAUCCAUCCAUCUAACACAUCUUUAAUACAAAAACAGUUGAGCCAAUGGUGGCACAUGCAUUUAAUCCCAACUCAGGAGGCGGAGACAGACCAAUCUUCGUGAGUUCAAGACCAGUCUGAUCUACAGAGUGAGUUCCAGGACAGCCAGGGCUACACAAAGGAACCCGGUCUUGGAAAAAUAAAUAAACAAACCCAAAACUCCAGCUGAAUAAUAGGGUAUCUCAUGGUAACUGUUUGCCAUAAUUUAUUCAGUAUGCCACAGCUAACGUUUGCUUCCAGGAUUUCAUCUGAAGGUCACAGAAAGAAUCUUAGAUAUUUGCUCUUGAAUAAUUUCUAUGGGAUUUUUUUUUUUGAUUUGCUAUCUCAAGUCAUGAGACCACUUAAACUGAUGGAUAUGUCUUGUUUACCUUUUAAAAAUUAUAGCAAUUUAUCUUAACAAUGUCAAGAGGGAUAAUUUUUCUGAAUACCCAGCAGUACACUACACAGCAAUACUGAAUAAAUUGCUCUUUAGAAAAUUUCACCAAUAUAACAUAUCAAGUACUUUAUAUUUAUUUGAUAAUUAAACACUUUUUAGGUAUUUAUAGACCCUUGGGCUUUUCCCUUACACGAACUGGCUAUUAUAUUUGCAUGUUUGUCUGUAUUGGAUCAGAUCCAUGUUUCUGUUGGGUAGGUUGUCUGUCUUUUUUAAAAUCUCGGUCCUAGGUGAGACAGAAUACCACACCAGGGAGCUCGUGACUAGGACAAAGUUCUUCAUCCCACCAUUGGGAGAGGAAGGGAUUGGACUGGAGCCCCGCCAUCCCUACUAAGGCCAUCCCUAGGAACUGCUUUGCAUCAAUAGACCAGGAAGAACUUUUUAGCAGAGCAUAUUCAGCAUGAUGAAAGUUGAUAAUUACCGCUGAAAGAGAGCUGUGGAUGCAGUGACACUAGCAUUAAGGAAACUCUGCAGGUGCAGAAGAGAAAGCUAAAGCUUCACAUUGGCAUACACCAGAAAUGAAGCGUGGGAACCUGC